AUUAAAACGUUGAGAAGGAGAAGUAAAAAACAUUCCCAUAUUAGAGAGAGUCACCAAAGGCUGAAAGUGACUUAUGGUUUUAAUGUUUUUGAAAUGCACCUUUGAGUCCUUUGCCCAAACAUUUUAUGGAGUAGGCAAAGGCGGAUUCUCUUCCGUUAUUAGAGUAGAGCAGAGGCUUUAUUAGCCUAAGCAGAGUGGAACCGCGCGAACGAAGCGUCUCUGUG
rnacentral:ncRNA from 1 species